GUCCACGCCCUAAACGAUGUCUACUAGUUGUUGGUGGAGUAAAAUCCAUGAGUAACGCAGCUAACGCGUGAAGUAGACCGCCUGGGGAGUACGGUCGCAAGAUUAAAACUCAAAUGAAUUGACGGGGGCCCGCACAAGCAGCGGAGCAUGCGGCUUAAAUUCGAACGCAAACGCGAAAGAACCUUACCAAGGCUUGACAUAUACAGGAAUAUGGCAGAGAUGUCAUAGCCGCAAGGUCUGUAUACAGGUGGUGCAAUGGUUGUCGU
rnacentral:rRNA from 1 species